rnacentral:rRNA from 1 species
UACGGGAAGGCAGCAGUGGGGAAUAUUGCACAAUGGGCGAAAGCCUGAUGCAGCUAUGCCGCGUGUAUGAAGAAGGCCUUAGGGUUGUAAAGUACUUUCAUCGGGGAGGAAAAAACAAAACUAAUAAUUUUAUUUCUUGACGUUACCCGAAAAAGAAGCACCGGCUAACUCCGUGCCAGCAGCCGCGGUAAUACGGAGGGUGCUAGCGUUAAUCAGAAUUACUGGGCGUAAAGAGCACGUAGGUGGUUUUUUUAAAGUCAGAUGUGAAAUCCCUGGGCUUAACCUAGGAACUGCAUUUUGAAACUGAAAUACUAGAGUAUCGUAGAGGGAGGUAGAAUUCUAGGUGUAGCGGUGAAAUGCGUAGAUAUCUGGAGGAAUACCUGUGGCGAAAGCGGCCUCCUAAACCGAAUACUGACACUGAGGUGCGAAAGCGUGGGGAGCAAACAGGGAUUAGAUACC